AUUAAUGUUCUAAACUUUCAACUAGUGUCUUUUAAUGUUGUCAGUCUUAUUAUAGUAUAAAAAAAUAGCUUAAGUCAUUCAACCUACAUAAAAAAUAUCUAAGUGAUAUCUUUAGCAUUAUAGUAACACUUUUUAGGCAUGUUAUAAUGUUUAUUACCCUUAUACGUCAUAAAAAUGGAUUGCUAUAGUGUUAAUCAGGGUACCGAAAUAAUAAUUUAGAAUCCCUUAAUUACAUGAUACCCUACUCCACGUCUUUCAUAUUUUAUCUGUCUCCAGUUAGAUAAUUUGCCAAGUGUAAGUAUAAAAUCAUUAUCACAAUAAAUGAGUUGGGGAAUUCCCUGAAUCAUGUGCCCGAAUAGAACGAACGGGACGUGCGACUUAAAGUCGAUAAAACAACAAUCCCUACAAAACGUGACGUCACUUGCACCAAGAGAACGACCUCUAUUCAUUAGUAGUACUUGAUUCCUGUCCCUGUGACGACGCGCGCUCAUUUGCUAAAUAUUGUGUAUUUUAUUUUUGAAUUAAUUUAAACACCGGCGUGAUCACGAUCCCUUACAGAUGCCUUUUAAAAUUGUGCAAACGACCGAAAGGGGAUCAACUAAACUGUUUAUUGUUCCAAGCGGGUGGGAAAGUCAGCGUCAACUGCGAUAUCCAAAAAGACCUAAUGAGUCUGCAUUAGUAAGGAAUGAAAAUUCCAAGCCUCGCGCAGAUUGGUCAGUGUUGCCUUGUAAAGUCAAACGGACGGGUUUUUUAACCUAUGAAGAUGCUGACGAGGAAUUGUCAAUUAUGAUGCAGCAUAGCGACACAGAUACCGGCCCCACUAUUUAUGAAGCCCAAAGAGAAACCCAGCUCGCAAUGUCAGGAUUACCAGAUUUCAAUAACUUGGCCGACCAACUAGUAACACUUCUGCAAAAUAAUUUUCAUUUUCAAAUCUUGAAUGUACUACGGAACCACUUGCUAGAACUUCUUGAACGGUGCUUGGCUCAUACACAACUACCGAUUGUUCUGUAUUUUGUGUAUCAAGAGUAUCAUUGUUUGGAACACGUUUUUCAUUACUUAAACCAGAUAUAAAAUUUGAGUAUUCCA